UUCCUGUAAUAAGAGCUCCAUGAUUCCUGAUCCGACAUCUCCACGGUGAUACCUUCCAUGCCACCGAAGGGCCUGGAUGAGGAUUCUUCCUUACUUUCAUCCAGGGACUCGGGAUUGCCACCAAGUCAUCUAAGAGAUCCUCUUUCGUGCAGCUCUGAUCUCAGCGGGAUUCAGCACAUUCCCCAUCCAGACCUCUGGGUUGGAGACCAUACUUCCUGUCCGAAGACUGUCAGUCCAUGCCCCCAUCGGCGUUGCUCUUUUCACUUGUGCACCAUGUUACUAGAUUCAUGAGUAAGUCUGCCUUCAAAGCCCAGGCCUCAGAGACAAGAGCUCUGUCCGCGGGGACUAAAGGACAUAAGUUACUUUCAUUUCCUUAUGCUGAUCCUCCCUCUUUCCUAGUACUGUUAGCAAGAGCCUGUUGUCCUCAGGGUCUCCACCCUUCGGCAUCCCCUCAGCUGAUUUCUGUCCCAUUGAGCACGCUCCCAUAGACAGACUCCCACAAGGGCCCCAGAACCUGGACGUCAGGCUACCCUGGACAGCCUCCUGUUAAGGGGAUGUUCCAUGUUACUGGUUCAACCCCAGUAGCCAGGAGGUGGCUCUAAUACAGUCCUGCCGAUGAAUGCUGCCUGUUAGGAGCUAGGCCUCACUGAUACAGUCUGCUAUGUCCAGUGGCUCUGGCUCAAUGGUCUGUGGGGUGUAACCCACAUGAACAGAAGCUCUUUGGGGUCCUCAGUCAUAGUUAAGAGUAGUCCUGAGUCCAGAAAGCCGACCUAGGUGAUGCAGAAGCUCGUCAUGGCAGUGUCUGGGACCCAGGGCCAGGCCAGGGUCUAGUCAUCUUCCUGGCACCUUAGGGAGAAGGCAGCAGAGUCUGCAUUGCAAUGCAGAAACCCUGAGACAUUGUGGUAACUUUAGAGGAGGAAGACCUAGCAGCUGGAACAGCUAGAAGAGUCCCCCCACAAAAGGGAGCUUUUGAGCUAAGGCCUGAAGAGAGCCAGGCCUCGGGAAGCAGAGCCUUCCAGUCAUGGGAGACAUCAGUGCAAAGAUCUGGAGGUGAGAGAUGAAAAACACUGAGGAGCUCAGGAUGCCUGGUCCAUAGAAUUCAUGGAGAGCAGUAAGUGUAAAAAGACUGGACACAUAGGAAGGGACCAGCCAGGUUGGAUAAACUGCCAGUGCUGGACAGAGCAGUUUGUGUUUGAUUCAGACCUGAGCAUUGGUACAUUUGGCAGCUGAUUAGAGGUUGGGUUGGAGUACCCUGAGCCACAAGGUGUGAACUAUGAGGAGGUCAUGGCCGCUAGGUGGCGCUGUGGCCGGAGCACUGAGCCUGCAGUCAGGAAGAGCUGAGUUUGAAUCCUACCUUGAACACUUAAUAGUUGUGAUCCUGGGCAGGUCACUUAACCUCUGUUUACCUCAGUUUCUUCAUCUGUAAAACAGGGAUAACAUACAUGUACCUCCCAGGAUUGCAGUGAUAAUCAGAUGAGAUAACAUUUUUCCUUUUUUUUUAUUUUAAACUGAGCUACAAAAUGAGAAAAGGAAAAACAAAAGAGCAUUUCCAUGUCCCCAGCAGAACCUAAGAGAGGGGUCAACAUGAAACAAUAAAUUUCCAUUUCUCAAAAACCUAUGCAAUAAACCUUCCACGGUGCUUUCAAAGCAA